rnacentral:snoRNA from 1 species
GUGAAGUGCUAAGGGUCUGCUGAUUGGUGACGAGUAUUUUAUGCUGA